rnacentral:rRNA from 1 species
CCCGCACAAGCGGUGGAGCAUGUGGUUAAUUCGAAGCAACGCGAAGAACCUUACCAGGUCUUGACAUCCCGAUGCUAUUUCUAGAGAUAGAAAGUUACUUCGGUACAUCGGUGACAGGUGGUGCAUGGUUGUCGUCAGCUCGUGUCGUGAGAUGUUGGGUUAAGUCCCGCAACGAGCGCAACCCCUAUUGUUAGUUGCCAUCAUUCAGUUGGGCACUCUAGCGAGACUGCCGGUAAUAAACCGGAGGAAGGUGGGGAUGACGUCAAAUCAUCAUGCCCCUUAUGACCUGGGCUACACACGUGUUACAAUGGCCGGUACAAAGGGCAGCUACAUCGCGAGGUGAUGCUAAUCUCGAAAGCCGGUCUCAGUUCGGAUCGAAGUCUGCAACCCGACUUCGUGAAGUUGGAUUCGCUAGUAAUCGCGCAUCAGCCAUGGCGCGGUGAAUACGUUCCCGGGCCUU